rnacentral:rRNA from 1 species
UGGGGAAUAUUGCACAAUGGGCGCAAGCCUGAUGCAGCCAUGCCGCGUGUAUGAAGAAGGCCUUCGGGUUGUAAAGUACUUUCAGUCGGGAGGAAGGUGGUAAGGUUAAUAACCUUAUCAAUUGACGUUACCCGCAGAAGAAGCACCGGCUAACUCCGUGCCAGCAGCCGCGGUAAUACGGAGGGUGCAAGCGUUAAUCGGAAUUACUGGGCGUAAAGCGCACGCAGGCGGUCUGUCAAGUCGGAUGUGAAAUCCCCGGGCUCAACCUGGGAACUGCAUUCGAAACUGGCAGGCUAGAGUCUUGUAGAGGGGGGUAGAAUUCCAGGUGUAGCGAUGAAAUGCGUAGAGAUCUGGAGGAAUACCGGUGGCGAAGGCGGCCCCCUGGACAAAGACUGACGCUCAGGUGCGAAAGCGUGGGGAGCAAACAGG